CAGUCGCCACGGUAAUACGUAGGGCGCAAGCGUUGUCCGGAAUUAUUGGGCGUAAAGAGCUCGUAGGCGGUCUGUCGCGUCUGGUGUGAAAUCCCGAGGCUCAACCUCGGGCUUGCAUCGGGUACGGGCAGACUAGAGUGCGGUAGGGGAGACUGGAAUUUCUGGUGUAGCGGUGGAAUGCGCAGAUAUCAGGAGGAACACCGAUGGCGAAGGCAGGUCUCUGGGCCGCAACUGACGCUGAGGAGCGAAAGCAUGGGGAGCGAACAGGAUUAGAUACCCGUGUAGUCCCUGUCUCUUAUAC
rnacentral:rRNA from 1 species